rnacentral:rRNA from 1 species
GAGUGGCGAACGGGUGAGUAACACGUGGGUAACCUGCCCAUCAGAAGGGGAUAACACUUGGAAACAGGUGCUAAUACCGUAUAACACUAUUUUCCGCAUGGAAGAAAGUUGAAAGGCGCUUUUGCGUCACUGAUGGAUGGACCCGCGGUGCAUUAGCUAGUUGGUGAGGUAACGGCUCACCAAGGCCACGAUGCAUAGCCGACCUGAGAGGGUGAUCGGCCACACUGGGACUGAGACACGGCCCAGACUCCUACGGGAGGCAGCAGUAGGGAAUCUUCGGCAAUGGACGAAAGUCUGACCGAGCAACGCCGCGUGAGUGAAGAAGGUUUUCGGAUCGUAAAACUCUGUUGUUAGAGAAGAACAAGGAUGAGAGUAAAAUGUUCAUCCCUUGACGGUAUCUAACCAGAAAGCCACGGCUAACUACGUGCCAGCAGCCGCGGUAAUACGUAGGUGGCAAGCGUUGUCCGGAUUUAUUGGGCGUAAAGCGAGCGCAGGCGGUUUCUUAAGUCUGAUGUGAAAGCCCCCGGCUCAACCGGGGAGGGUCAUUGGAAACUGGGAGACUUGAGUGCAGAAGAGGAGAGUGGAAUUCCAUGUGUAGCGGUGAAAUGCGUAGAUAUAUGGAGGAACACCAGUGGCGAAGGCGGCUCUCUGGUCUGUAACUGACGCUGAGGCUCGAAAGCGUGGGGAGCGAACAGGAUUAGAUACCCUGGUAGUCCACGCCGUAAACGAUGAGUGCUAAGUGUUGGAGGGUUCCCGCCCUUCAGU